rfam:Vibrio genomosp. F6 str. FF-238 FF-238_contig_14, whole genome shotgun sequence.
CUUAGUUGGUGGCGCACUUGGACAAGUUCUUGGUGGGCUAACGUAUACUUUUAAUUAAUAAAAUCUAUACAUUUAGCCCGCUCAAUGAGCGGGCUUUUUAUU